GCUUACGGCCACAACCGUCCCUGAGCAAGCCCGAUCUCGUCUGAUCUCGGAAGCUAAGCAGGGUCGGGCCCGGUUAGUACUUGGAUGGGAGACCGCCUGGGAAUACCAGGUGCUGUAAGCC
rnacentral:rRNA from 1 species